AGCUAGCAGCUAUACAAUUUACUCCAGGAGU
rnacentral:piRNA from 1 species